rnacentral:tRNA from 2 species
GGAGUAGGCUAAUUGCUAAGUGAGUAAGGGGUUUAUAGCCUCUUCGAGGGUUCGAAUCCCUCCCUCUCCG